GAAGUCGAGAAUAUACUCAUUUCGUGAAUUGACAAAGGCAGAUCUACAUUGAGCAAGCUCAAUGCCUAGGAGACAUCACAACUCAUUUAGGUCCUUCAUCUGAAAAUGUUUGAAGUGUGUAACAAUCUCAUCUAAAAGUUUAGUUGUUAGAGAGAGCACACUUUAUUUACUUAAUUAUAUCCUAAGUUGCUCGGACUCGGAUGCGGGUAUCCGAGACGGAUGUGAAUCCGAGAGUCGGAUUCGGCAAAAUUUAAAUUUUAAGAUUCGGGGGUGCGAAUCCGAGUAUGGAUACGGGUGCGGGGAUUCGUUAAAAUUAUUCAAUAUUAUAAAUAAUAAUAAUAAUAAAUAUCUUGUAAAAUGCUAUAUUUAAAAGGAUAUCAAUUAUAGAUAUACAAAUUUAAAAGUAUAAAUUAAUUACUUGUUACUAAUUAAUUUUUAAAAAAAUUAUAAUUAUUUUAUUUAUUGUAAAAAAGAAAUAAUCAUUUAUAUAUAUAUAUACAUAGCCUAUUAAAUUAGAUAGGAGUACAAUUAAUUAAAGUUCUGACGUGUUCUGACGUGCUGCCCUUUCUCUUCUCCCAAGAAUGCCUUUUCUUCUCCCAAGAAACCCUAGCCUUCUUUUUUCCUUUUCAAGAAAAAAGCUCUCUCUUCUUUUUCAAGAAAAAACUUUGAAUUAUUUGUUCUUUCCAUGGAGCCCUUCGCCUCCUCUUUGUUCUUGUACAAGAAAAAAAAUUUGCCUGCUCUCUCUCUUUUCUUGUAAGUUUUGCCUCUUCAUUAUUCUUUUCCAUGGAGCAGCCAGACCUUGUGACAACUUCGUCGUUGUCAACUUUCGCCAUCCAUGAAAUUAUCUCUUCUUCCCCAUUUUUUUUCUCGGCUUUGGUCAAAGUAUCCGGAUCGGAUUGACCGAAUCUGACACGCACCCCGCACCCGCGCCCGCACCAGUGUCGCGUCGAGACGGGUUCGGCCGCAAAAAUGAAGAGUCCGCGCAACAUAGAUUAUAUCUACUCAAGACGCGCCUCACGAGUGGGCCUG
rnacentral:lncRNA from 1 species